CCUACGAGCGGCAGCAGUGGGGAAUAUUGCACAAUGGGGGAAACCCUGAUGCAGCGACGCCGCGUGAGCGAUGAAGUAUCUCGGUAUGUAAAGCUCUAUCAGCAGGGAAGAAAGUGACAGUACCUGACUAAGAAGCCCCGGCUAACUACGUGCAAGCAGCCGCGGUAAUACGUAGGGGGCAAGCGUUAUCCGGAUUCACUGGGCGUAAAGGGAGCGCAGGCGGCACGGCAAGUCUGAUGUGAAAACCCGGGGCUCAACCCCGGGACUGCGUUGGAAACUGCCGGGCUGGAGUGUCGGAGGGGUAAGCGGAAUUCCGAGUGUAGCGGUGAAAUGCGUAGAUAUUAGGAGGAACACCAGUGGCGAAGGCGGUCUGCUGGACAGCAACUGACGCUGAGGCGCGAAAGCGUGGGGAGCAAACAGGAUUAGAUACCCCGGUAGUC
rnacentral:rRNA from 1 species